rnacentral:rRNA from 1 species
GAGUUUGAUCAUGGCUCAGAUUGAACGCUGGCGGAAUGCUUUACACAUGCAAGUCGAACGGCAGCACGGACUUCGGUCUGGUGGCGAGUGGCGAACGGGUGAGUAACAUAUCGGAACGUAUCCAAUAAUGGGGGAUAACUAAUCGAAAGGUUGGCUAAUACCGCAUACGCCCUACGGGGGAAAGCUAGGGACCUUCGGGCCUGGCGUUAAUGGAGCGGCCGAUAUCUGAUCAGCUAGUUGGUGGGGUAAAGGCCCACCAAGGCGACGAUCAGUAGCUGGUCUGAGAGGACGACCAGCCACACUGGAACUGAGACACGGUCCAGACUCCUACGGGAGGCAGCAGUGGGGAAUUUUGGACAAUGGGCGCAAGCCUGAUCCAGCCAUUCCGCGUGAGUGAAGAAGGCCUUCGGGUUGUAAAGCUCUUUCGCAAGGGAAGAAAACUUAGAUACUAAUAUUAUCUGAGGUUGACGGUACCUUGAUAAGAAGCACCGGCUAACUACGUGCCAGCAGCCGCGGUAAUACGUAGGGUGCGAGCGUUAAUCGGAAUUACUGGGCGUAAAGCGUGCGCAGGCGGUUUUGUAAGUCAGAUGUGAAAUCCCCGAGCUCAACUUGGGAACUGCGUCCGAAACUACAAGACUAAAUAUGUCAGAGGGGGUAG